rnacentral:rRNA from 1 species
UUGGUAUCUUAGUGGCGGACGGGUGAGUAACGCGUGGGUAACCUGCCUUACACUGGGGGAUAACACUUAGAAAUAGGUGCUAAUACCGCAUAACAGGAGAAGAUGCAUGUCUUUUCCUUAAAAACUCCGGUGGUGUAAGAUGGACCCGCGUCUGAUUAGCUUGUUGGCGGGGUAACGGCCCACCAAGGCGACGAUCAGUAGCCGGCCUGAGAGGGUGAACGGCCACAUUGGGACUGAGACACGGCCCAAACUCCUACGGGAGGCAGCAG